UUAUGGCCAUAUCAUGUUGAAACAUUGAUUCCUGUAUGAUCCCUGAAGUUAAGCAACAUAGAGCCUGGUCAUUACCGAGAUGGGUGACUGCUUGGGAAUAUCAGGUGCUGUAAG